rnacentral:rRNA from 1 species
GAUGAACGCUAGCGGCAGGCCUAACACAUGCAAGUCGAGGGGUAGAGUUCUUCGGGACUUGAGACCGGCGCACGGGUGCGUAACGCGUAUGCAAUCUACCUUAUACAGGGGAAUAGCCCCAGAGAAAUUUGGAUUAAUGCCCCAUAGUGUUAUCGAAUCGCAUGGUUUGAUAACUAAAGUUCCAACGGUAUAAGAUGAGCAUGCGUCCCAUUAGUUAGUUGGUAAGGUAACGGCUUACCAAGACAAUGAUGGGUAGGGGUCCUGAGAGGGAGAUCCCCCACACUGGUACUGAGACACGGAC